GUGGGGAAUCUUAGACAAUGGGGGAAACCCUGAUCUAGCCAUGCCGCGUGAGCGAUGAAGGCCUUAGGGUUGUAAAGCUCUUUCAGCUGGGAAGAUAAUGACGGUACCAGCAGAAGAAGCCCCGGCUAACUCCGUGCCAGCAGCCGCGGUAAUACGGAGGGGGCUAGCGUUGUUCGGAAUUACUGGGCGUAAAGCGCGCGUAGGCGGACCAGAAAGUUGGAGGUGAAAUCCCAGGGCUCAACCUUGGAACUGCCUUCAAAACUCCUGGUCUGGAGUUCGAGAGAGGUGAGUGGAAUUCCGAGUGUAGAGGUGAAAUUCGUAGAUAUUCGGAGGAACACCAGUGGCGAAGGCGGUUCACUGGCUCGAUACUGACGCUGAGGUGCGAAAGCGUGGGGAGCAAACAGGAUUAGAAACCCCGGUAGUCC
rnacentral:rRNA from 1 species